rnacentral:rRNA from 1 species
AGCGUACACGGUGGAUGCCCUGGCAGUCAGAGGCGAUGAAGGACGUGCUAAUCUGCGAUAAGCGUCGGUAAGGUGAUAUGAACCGUUAUAACCGGCGAUUUCCGAAUGGGGAAACCCAGUGUGUUUCGACACACUAUCAUUAACUGAAUCCAUAGGUUAAUGAGGCGAACCGGGGGAACUGAAACAUCUAAGUACCCCGAGGAAAAGAAAUCAACCGAGAUUCCCCCAGUAGCGGCGAGCGAACGGGGAGCAGCCCAGAGCCUGAAUCAGUGUGUGUGUUAGUGGAAGCGUCUGGAAAGGCGCGCGAUACAGGGUGACAGCCCCGUACACAAAAAUGCACAUGCUGUGAGCUCGAUGAGUAGGGCGGGACACGUGGUAUCCUGUCUGAAUAUGGGGGGACCAUCCUCCAAGGCUAAAUACUCCUGACUGACCGAUAGUGAACCAGUACCGUGAGGGAAAGGCGAAAAGAACCCCGGCGAGGGGAGUGAAAAAGAACCUGAAACCGUGUACGUACAAGCAGUGGGAGCACGCUUCGGCGUGUGACUGCGUACCUUUUGUAUAAUGGGUCAGCGACUUAUAUUCUGUAGCAAGGUUAACCGAAUAGGGGAGCCGAAGGGAAACCGAGUCUUAACUGGGCGUUAAGUUGCAGGGUAUAGACCCGAAACCCGGUGAUCUAGCCAUGGGCAGGUUGAAGGUUGGGUAACACUAACUGGAGGACCGAACCGACUAAUGUUGAAAAAUUAGCGGAUGACUUGUGGCUGGGGGUGAAAGGCCAAUCAAACCGGGAGAUAGCUGGUUCUCCCCGAAAGCUAUUUAGGUAGCGCCUCGUGAAUUCAUCUCCGGGGGUAGAGCACUGUUUCGGCAAGGGGGUCAUCCCGACUUACCAACCCGAUGCAAACUGCGAAUACCGGAGAAUGUUAUCACGGGAGACACACGGCGGGUGCUAACGUCCGUCGUGAAGAGGGAAACAACCCAGACCGCCAGCUAAGGUCCCAAAGUCAUGGUUAAGUGGGAAACGAUGUGGGAAGGCCCAGACAGCCAGGAUGUUGGCUUAGAAGCAGCCAUCAUUUAAAGAAAGCGUAAUAGCUCACUGGUCGAGUCGGCCUGCGCGGAAGAUGUAACGGGGCUAAACCAUGCACCGAAGCUGCGGCAGCGACGCUUAUGCGUUGUUGGGUAGGGGAGCGUUCUGUAAGCCUGCGAAGGUGUGCUGUGAGGCAUGCUGGAGGUAUCAGAAGUGCGAAUGCUGACAUAAGUAACGAUAAAGCGGGUGAAAAGCCCGCUCGCCGGAAGACCAAGGGUUCCUGUCCAACGUUAAUCGGGGCAGGGUGAGUCGACCCCUAAGGCGAGGCCGAAAGGCGUAGUCGAUGGGAAACAGGUUAAUAUUCCUGUACUUGGUGUUACUGCGAAGGGGGGACGGAGAAGGCUAUGUUGGCCGGGCGACGGUUGUCCCGGUUUAAGCGUGUAGGCUGGUUUUCCAGGCAAAUCCGGAAAAUCAAGGCUGAGGCGUGAUGACGAGGCACUACGGUGCUGAAGCAACAAAUGCCCUGCUUCCAGGAAAAGCCUCUAAGCAUCAGGUAACAUCAAAUCGUACCCCAAACCGACACAGGUGGUCAGGUAGAGAAUACCAAGGCGCUUGAGAGAACUCGGGUGAAGGAACUAGGCAAAAUGGUGCCGUAACUUCGGGAGAAGGCACGCUGAUAUGUAGGUGAAGUCCCUCGCGGAUGGAGCUGAAAUCAGUCGAAGAUACCAGCUGGCUGCAACUGUUUAUUAAAAACACAGCACUGUGCAAACACGAAAGUGGACGUAUACGGUGUGACGCCUGCCCGGUGCCGGAAGGUUAAUUGAUGGGGUUAGCGGUAACGCGAAGCUCUUGAUCGAAGCCCCGGUAAACGGCGGCCGUAACUAUAACGGUCCUAAGGUAGCGAAAUUCCUUGUCGGGUAAGUUCCGACCUGCACGAAUGGCGUAAUGAUGGCCAGGCUGUCUCCACCCGAGACUCAGUGAAAUUGAACUCGCUGUGAAGAUGCAGUGUACCCGCGGCAAGACGGAAAGACCCCGUGAACCUUUACUAUAGCUUGACACUGAACAUUGAGCCUUGAUGUGUAGGAUAGGUGGGAGGCUUUGAAGUGUGGACGCCAGUCUGCAUGGAGCCGACCUUGAAAUACCACCCUUUAAUGUUUGAUGUUCUAACGUUGACCCGUAAUCCGGGUUGCGGACAGUGUCUGGUGGGUAGUUUGACUGGGGCGGUCUCCUCCUAAAGAGUAACGGAGGAGCACGAAGGUUGGCUAAUCCUGGUCGGACAUCAGGAGGUUAGUGCAAUGGCAUAAGCCAGCUUGACUGCGAGCGUGACGGCGCGAGCAGGUGCGAAAGCAGGUCAUAGUGAUCCGGUGGUUCUGAAUGGAAGGGCCAUCGCUCAACGGAUAAAAGGUACUCCGGGGAUAACAGGCUGAUACCGCCCAAGAGUUCAUAUCGACGGCGGUGUUUGGCACCUCGAUGUCGGCUCAUCACAUCCUGGGGCUGAAGUAGGUCCCAAGGGUAUGGCUGUUCGCCAUUUAAAGUGGUACGCGAGCUGGGUUUAGAACGUCGUGAGACAGUUCGGUCCCUAUCUGCCGUGGGCGCUGGAGAACUGAGGGGGGCUGCUCCUAGUACGAGAGGACCGGAGUGGACGCAUCACUGGUGUUCGGGUUGUCAUGCCAAUGGCACUGCCCGGUAGCUAAAUGCGGAAGAGAUAAGUGCUGAAAGCAUCUAAGCACGAAACUUGCCCCGAGAUGAGUUCUCCCUGACUCCUUGA